rnacentral:rRNA from 1 species
GAGUUGCGAACGGGUGAGUAACGCGUAGGUAACCUGCCUGGUAGCGGGGGAUAACUAUUGGAAACGAUAGCUAAUACCGCAUAAGAGUAGAUGUUGCAUGACAUUUGCUUAAAAGGUGCAAUUGCAUCACUACCAGAUGGACCUGCGUUGUAUUAGCUAGUUGGUGGGGUAACGGCUCACCAAGGCGACGAUACAUAGCCGACCUGAGAGGGUGAUCGGCCACACUGGGACUGAGACACGGCCCAGACUCCUACGGGAGGCAGCAGUAGGGAAUCUUCGGCAAUGGACGGAAGUCUGACCGAGCAACGCCGCGUGAGUGAAGAAGGUUUUCGGAUCGUAAAGCUCUGUUGUAAGAGAAGAACGAGUGUGAGAGUGGAAAGUUCACACUGUGACGGUAUCUUACCAGAAAGGGACGGCUAACUACGUGCCAGCAGUCGCGGUAAUACGUAGGUCCCGAGCGUUGUCCGGAUUUAUUGGGCGUAAAGCGAGCGCAGGCGGUUAGAUAAGUCUGAAGUUAAAGGCUGUGGCUUAACCAUAGUACGCUUUGGAAACUGUUUAACUUGAGUGCAAGAGGGGAGAGUGGAAUUCCAUGUGUAGCGGUGAAAUGCGUAGAUAUAUGGAGGAACACCGGUGGCGAAAGCGGCUCUCUGGCUUGUAACUGACGCUGAGGCUCGAAAGCGUGGGGAGC